CGGCGUGUGGCUCAGCUUGGUAGAGCGCUACGUUCGGGACGUAGAGGUCGCAAGUUCGAAUCUUGUCACGCCGA
rnacentral:tRNA from 1 species